ensembl:miRNA pma-mir-430f pma-mir-430f
UAUUCUGUUCACGUUUACAGCAAUUUCGAGCACUCUGCUUCAUUUAUAAUAGCAAGUGCUUUGAUUUUGUUGUGUACGAGAAACAGACGC